UACGUAGGGGGCUAGCGUUGUCCGGAAUCAUUGGGCGUAAAGCGCGCGUAGGCGGCCAGAUAAGUCCGGUGUGAAAACUCGAGGCUCAACCUCGAGACGCCGAUGGAAACCAUCUGGCUAGAGUCCGGAAGAGGAGAGUGGAAUUCCUGGUGUAGCGGUGAAAUGCGCAGAUAUCAGGAAGAACACCAAUGGCGAAGGCAGCUCUCUGGGACGGUACUGACGCUGAGACGCGAAAGCGUGGGGAGCGAACAGG
rnacentral:rRNA from 1 species